rnacentral:tRNA from 1 species
GGGGAUUUAGCUCAGCGGCAUAAGCGCCUGCCUUGAAAGCAGGCAGUCGUGAGCUCGAUCCCUG